AUGCACAGCUCCAUUUUGAUGACUCCAUCACCAGGGAGCUCUUGGUUGCACUGCAAUCAGGGAGGCCUUGUCAACUCGCUGAUGCCACUUAACCUCUAUGGUCUCUCAUUGCUCAAGAUGGAUAGUUUUGUGCAGGUUUGGCCUCAACCACUUCUUCAACAAAGCUUCCAGUCGGGCGGCGUCCCACUUCACAUUUUGCUAAGGUGCUUCCAUGAUUUCUCCAGUCUCUCAAGCGCAUCAUAG
rnacentral:rRNA from 1 species